CCCCCCCCCCCCCCCCCCCCCCCCCCCCCCCCCCCCCCCCCCCCCCCCCCCCCCCCCCCCCCCCCCCGCGGAGGGCGGCGGCGGCCACCACCGAGGAGCGGCGGCGGCAAAGUUUUGGUGUGGGGGGCCAGAGGCGCGGAGGGGAAUUACGAUCGGUGCCGGCGAGGGAUUCCCAGACACCGCCAGGAGGAGACCAAUGAUGCUUGUCGUGCCAUGGCUUUGCGAGGGAUCUUUAGCAGAGCCUGGGAGCAGGAGCAGCUGAAGCACAUUCUCUUGUGUCCCUGGAGAAGACAGGGAGGGGUCACAGCAGGAAGAACAAGGCAAAGGCAGGCCAGAUCUGACAGAUAGCGGAUAUGAGGACUUUGCUGACUUCAGAAAGCUGACAGAAAGCAACAGACCUCAGUGAAAUACCCCUCCAAGAACAGAGACUUUUGGUAGCAUUAAAUUGACCUGUUGUUCAACUACAAAGACAUGGCAACUGGUUCUUUCAGCACACAUGGAGGAAGGCAACAAACAUUGUAACCCUGGCUAAAAAGACUCUGUUUUCCUUAUCAAAAGUAGGAGUUAGGGCAAUUAUAAAAGGAUUAUUUUAUUGUUAGCCUCCAGGACUUUAACUCUGCCUGAACACUGGACAUAAAUAGAAGCCAAUUUUAAUGACCUGAGAUUUUGUUACCUGUGUGUUAUUAUUGUUAUCAGUUCCUGAAUAGUUUGGUAC
rnacentral:lncRNA from 1 species